rnacentral:rRNA from 1 species
CUAUGUGUUGUUGGGUAGGGGAGCGUUCUGUAAGCCUGUGAAGGUGUACUGUGAGGUAUGCUGGAGGUAUCAGAAGUGCGAAUGCUGACAUAAGUAACGAUAAAGCGGGUGAAAAGCCCGCUCGCCGGAAGACCAAGGGUUCCUGUCCAACGUUAAUCGGGGCAGGGUGAGUCGACCCCUAAGGCGAGGCCGAAAGGCGUAGUCGAUGGGAAACAGGUUAAUAUUCCUGUACUUGGUGUUACUGCGAAGGGGGGACGGAGAAGGCUAUGUUGGCCGGGCGACGGUUGUCCCGGUUUAAGCGUGUAGGCUGGUUUUCCAGGCAAAUCCGGAAAAUCAAGGCUGAGGCGUGAUGACGAGGCACUACGGUGCUGAAGCAACAAAUGCCCUGCUUCCAGGAAAAGCCUCUAAGCAUCAGGUAACAUCAAAUCGUACCCCAAACCGACACAGGUGGUCAGGUAGAGAAUACCAAGGCGCUUGAGAGAACUCGGGUGAAGGAACUAGGCAAAAUGGUGCCGUAACUUCGGGAGAAGGCACGCUGAUAUGUAGGUGAAGCGACUUGCUCGUGGAGCUGAAAUCAGUCGAAGAUACCAGCUGGCUGCAACUGUUUAUUAAAAACACAGCACUGUGCAAACACGAAAGUGGACGUAUACGGUGUGACGCCUGCCCGGUGCCGGAAGGUUAAUUGAUGGGGUUAGCGGUAACGCGAAGCUCUUGAUCGAAGCCCCGGUAAACGGCGGCCGUAACUAUAACGGUCCUAAGGUAGCGAAAUUCCUUGUCGGGUAAGUUCCGACCUGCACGAAUGGCGUAAUGAUGGCCAGGCUGUCUCCACCCGAGACUCAGUGAAAUUGAACUCGCUGUGAAGAUGCAGUGUACCCGCGGCAAGACGGAAAGACCCCGUGAACCUUUACUAUAGCUUGACACUGAACAUUGAGCCUUGAUGUGUAGGAUAGGUGGGAGGCUUAGAAGUGUGGACGCCAGUCUGCAUGGAGCCGACCUUGAAAUACCACCCUUUAAUGUUUGAUGUUCUAACGUUGGCCCCUGAUCGGGGUUGCGGACAGUGUCUGGUGGGUAGUUUGACUGGGGCGGUCUCCUCCUAAAGAGUAACGGAGGAGCACGAAGGUUGGCUAAUCCUGGUCGGACAUCAGGAGGUUAGUGCAAUGGCAUAAGCCAGCUUGACUGCGAGCGUGACGGCGCGAGCAGGUGCGAAAGCAGGUCAUAGUGAUCCGGUGGUUCUGAAUGGAAGGGCCAUCGCUCAACGGAUAAAAGGUACUCCGGGGAUAACAGGCUGAUACCGCCCAAGAGUUCAUAUCGACGGCGGUGUUUGGCACCUCGAUGUCGGCUCAUCACAUCCUGGGGCUGAAGUAGGUCCCAAGGGUAUGGCUGUUCGCCAUUUAAAGUGGUACGCGAGCUGGGUUUAGAACGUCGUGAGACAGUUCGGUCCCUAUCUGCCGUGGGCGCUGGAGAACUGAGGGGGGCUGCUCCUAGUACGAGAGGACCGGAGUGGACGCAUCACUGGUGUUCGGGUUGUCAUGCCAAUGGCACUGCCCGGUAGCUAAAUGCGGAAGAGAUAAGUGCUGAAAGCAUCUAAGCACGAAACUUGCCCCGAGAUGAGUUCUCCCUGACUCCUUGAGAGUCCUGAAGGAACGUUGAAGACGACGACGUUGAUAGGCCGGGUGUGUAAGCGCAGCGAUGCGUUGAGCUAACCGGUACUAAUGAACCGUGAG